GGUCAUGCGUUCUAUUAGUUAGUUGGUAAGGUAACGGCUUACCAAGACAUCGAUAGAUAGGGGCCCUGAGAGGGGGAUCCCCCACACUGGUACUGAGACACGGACCAGACUCCUACGGGAGGCAGCAGUGAGGAAUAUUGGACAAUGGAGGCAACUCUGAUCCAGCCAUGCCGCGUGAAGGAAGACUGCCCUAUGGGUUGUAAACUUCUUUUAUAGAGGAAGAAACACAGAUACGUGUAUUUGUUUGACGGUACUCUACGAAUAAGGAUCGGCUAACUCCGUGCCAGCAGCCGCGGUAAUACGGAGGAUCCAAGCGUUAUCCGGAAUCAUUGGGUUUAAAGGGUCCGCAGGCUGUUGUUUAAGUCAGAGGUGAAAGUUUGCAGCUCAACUGUAAAAUUGCCUUUGAUACUGGAUAACUUGAGUAAUAAUGAAGUGGUUAGAAUAUGUAGUGUAGCGGUGAAAUGCAUAGAUAUUACAUAGAAUACCGAUUGCGAAGGCAGAUCACUAAUUAUAUACUGACGCUGAGGGACGAAAGCGUGGGGAGCGAACAGGAUUAGAUACCCUGGUAGUCCACGCCGUAAACGAUGGUUACUAGCUGUUUGGACUUCNGUCUGAGUGGCUAAGCGAAAGUGAUAAGUAACCCACCUGGGGAGUACGAUCGCAAGAUUGAACUCAAAGAAUUGACGGGGGCCCGCACAAGC
rnacentral:rRNA from 1 species